rnacentral:lncRNA from 1 species
GGCCACGUGAGGAGGGUGGGCGGGGCGUUAAAGUUCAUAUCCCAGUGUCCUUUGAAUCGACUUCCUUUUUUCUUUUUUCCGGCGUUCAAGAUGUCGAAGCGAGGUUCUGCCAUUACAGGACCAGUAGCAAAGGAGUGUGCAGACUUGUGGCCCCGGAUUGCAUCCAAUGCUGGCAGCAUUGCAUGAUUCUCCAGUAUAUUUGUAAAAAAUAAAAAAAAA